GAGAGGGAACAGGAGGUACAUCACUUAUCUCUUUAACAUUAUUAAGAAGCCUUAUGAAUUAUGAUAUGUUCCUAUCUGGAUUUUCAACUUUUCCUUCCCUGCAGAAAGAGAAGAUUGCACGGUUAGAGAGAUCCUUGCAAUGCUUAAAUGAACAGAUUUCAUUUGCUCAAGCUGAAUGCGUGGAGAAGGAUGCUAUUUUAGCUAAGCAAGCAAAAGUGGCAGAAGAAGCAAUAUUAGGUAAAACUCCAUUCACUUUUCGCUAACUGAUACAUGUUCUUGUUUCAAAACUAGUUAAGCACAUGAUUUUUCCAUCCUAGAAGAGAAAUGGACAGCUGCAAGUAUGCAGAUACAAUGGCAAUUAAAGUUCUGCAAUUCUUUUUUUCUGCAAUUCAUGUUAUUGGUUUACAACUAUUCUAGGUUGGGAGAAAGCUGAAGGUGAAGCAAUAGCUAUUAAGACACAACUUGAUGAUACUCUAGAUCAGAAAGCCGCAAUUGAGCAAAGGAUUUGCCAUCUUGAUGAGGCUCUAAAUGUUGCCAUGGUAGAGAGGGAGUUAUUGAUAAAGGACACUGCUAAACUGAUUUCUCAUGAGCAAGUUAAAGUUGAGAGGCUGGAAGGAGAUGUAGUAGAGAAAAUAAACAUAAUUGCUAGCUUGGAUGCCGAGAAUAGGAAACUUUCUGAAAUGCUCUCAAUGAAAGAGAAAAUGAUCUCAGAGUUAACUGAAGCAAAGGGUGUGAUAGAGUCAAAUUUCAAGAACCUUGAGGUAAAACUAGAGUCAGCGGACAAAUUGAAUUCUUCUCUUAGAUAUGAGGUUUGCAUGCUGCAGAAGCAACUUGAUAUUCGAAGUGAGGAAAGGAAAUUUAACCUGAAAUCUGCUGAUGCUGCACAUAAACAACAUCUUGAGAAUGUAAAAAAGAUUACAAAACUUGAAGCAGAAUGCCAGAGAUUGCGUUCAAUGGUACGUAAAAGGCUACCAGGCCCUGCUGCCAUUGCUAAAAUGAGAAAUGAAGUUGAAACACUGGGUAACAAUGCAGUAAUAACAAGGACGAGAAGGUUCAAUUCUACAACAUCAUUCAACUCAGGCAAUCUAGUGCAGAACUCCUAUGAUGCAUCACAUGAAAGUUCUUCAUUGCUUGCAAGGCUGCAUGCGAUGGAAGACGAAAAUAAGACUAUGAAGGAAUCUCUUUCUAGUAAGGAUGGUGAGCUCCAGUAUUCGCGGACCAUGCUUGCUCGCACAACCUCUAAACUUUCCCAAGUUGAAGCUCAGCUUGAGGAGUUAUCAAGAGGUCGGGUUGCAACAGAUUUAGUAAAAUGCAGUCCUACAGUGGUCGAGAACCCUCUAUCAUCAAUCUCCGAGGACGGUUGCAAUGAAGAUAAUGUCAGCUGUUCAAGCUCAUGGGCGUCUGCCUUGAUUUCUGAACUGGAACACUUCAAGAAGGGGAAGCUGACUACACCCUCUUGUAAGAGUACCGGAGUAUCAGACUUGAGUUUCAUGGACGACUUUGAAGAGAUAGAAAAGUUAGCAUUGGCAUGUGAUGCGAAACCUACAGAAUCGUAUGAUUCAAGGAGGGAGUCUAGAGAAUCAUCAGGGAAAGAGCUAGUAACAGUUGAUGGUCCUAUUGAAACAUCUGACCAACUCCGUCAGCACAAGAUUGAGAAGGCAGUCCUGAAGUUGAUAGAACUUAUUGAGGGUGUUGUCCAGAGAUCAUCAAAAGAUUAUAGUAGCACUGUUGUGCUCUCUGGUGGCAGUGAGGGCGACCGCUCUAACACAUUGACUGGCUACGUUGCACGUGCAUUCCUGUGGAAAACGUCUGAACUUACUUCUGUACUACAAAAUUUCGUCCUUGGGUGUAACGAGCUUUUGUAUGGGAGUACAGAUGUUGAAAGAUUUGUGCUUGAAAUCAAUAUCACACUAGACUGGAUAAUCAGCCACUGCUUUUCACUCCAAGAUGUAUCAGACAUGAGGGAGACUAUCAUAAAGAACUUGGAGAUAAAUAGCAGUUCCGGACUAGAAGUUGUUCCAGUAAUUAAGCACACCGGAAUCCAAACAACAGAUGGCAUGUGUGAACCCAGGACGCCUAACAAGAUGCAGAUGGCGAUAGUAUCUGUAUCAAGCUUAAUGGAUAUUGGAUAUAAAGCUGAUGAUGACUCAGAAAUUUUCAGGAAUAAAAUACCAGUCUCUAAAUGUGAGGAAUCAGAAGGAAAAGCUUCAAGCCUGCGAGCAGAGCUUAAUGCAUUGAAAGAAACAGGAAAAAUGAUGGCACAUGGUGUCGAUGGUGAAUCCACAAUCAAUGAACUUGGGAAACCAUCCAACUCUGACAUAAACAAGGGCAAUCAACACGGAGUGUCUUCUCUUGAAUCCAAGCUUCAGCUAGAACGGUAAUUCUUUCAGUUAUUUAUUUUUCAUCAUUUAGCCUUCAUAGUAUUAUGCCUAAUGCAGUUAUUUCUAAACAGUUUCCCUGCUAAAGAAGGUCCAAAAUGUGUUUCUAGGAAUGAAGAUCAGCAUGUACAGAUGGUAAGAUCCACAUUAUUUUACUUCUUGACUUUGUUAGUUUGUUAUUCUGGAACUUGCCUUUGUACUUUGCAAUGUAUUAGGUAUUUCAUUUGGAGAAUGUGUUACAUAUUUGUGCUUUGUAUCUGCAAGUAAUUUGCUCCACCGAUGAUAAUCCUGUCUGUAAUAUAUAGCAUUGCUUUUGUUCUUGUAAUACAAAUUGCAGGCAAGCUCAAAUAAAGAGCAGUCAGUCUUGCUUAAUAUGUUUUUUGUUUCUUUAAUUUUGAGUCAAGUUGAAUAGGACGUGAUAUAAAUUUAUUACCAUUUAGUAGUGCUACAAUUUUUUUUAUUACCCAUUCACUCUGUUUCUGUUAUCUGUCUUUUUUUUUAUUUUGUCUGGUUUUUUUGGGGGUAAUACUUUUAUGAGCCCGGCGAAAAAGUAUUACCUUUAUUAUAUAUAUUUUUUUACAACUCAAUCAACUUUCCCCAUUGUGUCUACAGCGGCUGGAGAUCUCAACAGCAUCAGAGAAGCUUAUCGAGUGUCAGGAGACAAUCCUAAACCUGGGAAAGCAACUGAAAGCACUUGCAUCUCCAAAGGAUGCGAUCCUUUUCGACAAAGUGGUUCAUACAAAAAUUCAGUCUGAGCGAAAACCCCGGUCUCAGUCGCUAAACGAGAUGCUAGCCAUGGAUGAUGGAGGAUUCGAUUACCUCAGCUCCCCCAAAACCAAGGAGAUCAUAUGCGCGGAACUAAGAUCGCGGCAUGAAAGAAGUUGCUCUGUCGACAACGGAGGCGAUGAUUCAGUAACAUGCAGUUCCCACCCAAUGCCGGUGGCACCACCAAUGAGGCCCUACGAUGUGAAUGGAACUUGCAAGGAUGAGGCUGCUCUCAAGGUAGUAGCACUUAUGCCGAGCAAGCAGAAGGGGAACACCAACUUGCUGAAAAGGAUUCUGGCAGGAAGGAGAAAGGAAGCCAUGACCAGGCCAAAUGUCGUUGCGACUGCUUAGCCUCCAUGGAUGAUAGAUUGCCCCUUCUCCGGUGUAAAUUAAGUGUGGCCGUGGAUGAUGGAUUGCCCUCUUCAGGUGUAAAUUAAGUGUGGCCGAUUGGCACUUGAGCUGUGUCGUUUUGAUCACGUUGGUAGUAAGAACUAAGAACAGUGCAAUGUAUAUGUAACAUGCGGUAUGUAUUAGCGUGAUUUGCAAUGUUUCCGCAACCAUUACACUGUUGCUUGAGCUUAUGAAUCUAUCUCUGCUUUGGUUUACCGUGCAAGUGAACAGAAAACUCUAAUUCUAGUUAUGAUAGAUCUCUGGAAGACGGCUGGUUUAUCGGCGCGUGUUUUUAUGCCUAUCCUGGCGUUUCUGCAGUGGGAUCCCACCCAGAGGAGGAUCAGCAGUAGCAGCAUUGCCCUAGUUUUGGAGGAUUUUGAAAAGUUCUGCACCGAUACGGGGAGAGAAAUUCAGGGUUUCAGAGACUGACCUAGUGACCUCUCAUCUUGAUCGUGUGCUCGGUGUCGCGGACGCGGACGAGCGCGGGGGGAGACUCUCCUGGGUCGUCGGCAGUCGCGCGCGCGUGAUUCCGCGGUGGUCGGGCGCCGGCCGGGAUUUCGUGCGGGCGAGAGGGGCGGGGCGCAGGCGGCGGAGGGGAUCGGUUUGGGAGGGAAGGGUUUGGGCGGCGGUGGUCGGCGCCUCAGCAGGGGCGCUCGAUGAAUCUGGAAU
rnacentral:lncRNA from 1 species